rnacentral:rRNA from 1 species
AUUGAACGCUGGCGGCAUGCCUUACACAUGCAAGUCGAACGGUAACGGGCCUUCGGGUGCCGACGAGUGGCGCACGGGUGAGUAAUACAUCGGAACGUGCCCGAUCGUGGGGGGUAACGAGGCGAAAGCUUUUCUAAUACCGCAUACGAUCUACGGAUGAAAGCAGGGGACCGCAAGGCCUUGCGCGGACAGAGCGGCCGAUGGCAGAUUAGGUAGUUGGUGGGAUAAAAGCUUACCAAGCCGACGAUCUGUAGCUGGUCUGAGAGGAUGAUCAGCCACACUGGGACUGAGACACGGCCCAGACUCCUACGGGAGGCAGCAGUGGGGAAUUUUGGACAAUGGGCGCAAGCCUGAUCCAGCCAUGCCGCGUGCAGGAUGAAGGCCUUCGGGUUGUAAACUGCUUUUGUACGGAAAGAAAAGCCUUCUUUUAAUACAGGAGGGUCAUGACGGUACCGUAAGAAUAAGCACCGGCUAACUACGUG